rnacentral:siRNA from 1 species
CGGGCCGUGAGUCCCUACCGGUUC